rnacentral:rRNA from 1 species
GUGCCAGCCGCUGCGGUAAUACGAAGGGUGCAAGCGUUACUCGGAAUUACUGGGCGUAAAGCGUGCGUAGGUGGUGGUUUAAGUCUGCUGUGAAAGCCCUGGGCUCAACCUGGGAAUUGCAGUGGAUACUGGGUCACUAGAGUGCGGUAGAGGGGUGUGGAAUUUCCGGUGUAGCAGUGAAAUGCGUAGAGAUCGGAAGGAACAUCUGUGGCGAAGGCGACACCCUGGGCCAGCACUGACACUGAGGCACGAAAGCGUGGGAGCAAACAGGAUAGAUACCCUGGUAGUCCACGCCCUAAACGAUGCGAACUGGAUGUUGGUCAACUUGGAACCCAGUAUCGAAGCUAACGCGUUAAGUUCG